GGGAGGAAAAGAAACUAACAAGGAUUUUCUUAGUAGCGGCGAGCGAAAAGAAAACAGUUCAGCACUAAGUCACUUUGUCUUAAUGGCAAAUGUGAGAUGCAGUGUAUGGAAUGUCAAAUUUCUAGUAUGAGAAAUUAACGAUUUAAGUCCUUCUUAAAUGAGGCCAUUUACCCAAAGAGGGUGCCAGGCCCGUAUAACGUUAAUGAUUACUAGAUGGCAUUUCCAAAGAGUCGUGUUGCUUGAUAGUGCAGCACUAAGUGGGUGGUAAACUCCAUCUAAAACUAAAUAUAACCAUGAGACCGAUAGUAAACAAGUACCGUGAGGGAAAGUUGAAAAGAACUCUGAAUAGAGAGUUAAAUAGUACGUGAAACUGCUUAGAGGUUAAGCCCGAUGAACCUGAAUAUCCAUUAUGGAAAAUUCAUCAUUAUGAUUUUAAUAUUUAUAAUAUUAUAAUAAUGGUGUGCAUUUUUUCUAUAAAGGACAUUGUAAUCUAUUAAUAUAAAUAUAUUUAUCAUAAGAUCUGGUGCGUUAGUUUAUUCAAAUUAUUUUGCUUGCAAUUUAACAUAGAAUAAAUGCGCUUGAUUUGAUAAAGUGUUGAUAGAUUUAUUAUAUAUAGUGCUUAAAUAUUUAUAUUUUAUAAUAGCAUUAUUAAUCAUUGAUUUUUAUGUUUAUUAUAUGCACUUAUAUGAUUAACAAUGCGAAAGAUUCAGGAUACCUUCGGGACCCGUCUUGAAACACGGACCAAGGAGUCUAACAUAUUUGCAAGUUGUUGGGAAUAAAAACCUAAUAGCGAAAUUAACAUAACUUAUUAAUGGGAUUAGUUUUUAGACUAUUUAUAGUCUAUUUAUUCAAUCCCGGGGCGUUCUAUCAGUUAUGUAUAAUAAUAUUUAUAUUAUUUAUACCUCUAACUAGAGCGUACCUUGAGCAUAUAUGCUGUGACCCGAAAGAUGGUGAACUAUACUUGAUCAGGUUGAAGUCAGGGGAAACCCUGAUGGAAGACCGAAACAG
rnacentral:rRNA from 1 species